CUUUUUGAUCGAAGUCCAAGAACAGCUUUGACGGACAGCUUUCUAAGCGCAGAAAAGAAAGCUUUGAGUGUGGUUCUUCUCUCAACGGAAAAAGGGCUGGAAGAAGAAUAUCCCUCAUAUCGAGUGUCUAUCGCUCCCGUGGCACUGGCCGUAACAUCAAGAUCGGAAAAUGGCGUCAUAAAAGAUAGUUAUACCUUACCCCAUGACCUGAAAGAGGGUCGGG
rnacentral:misc_RNA from 1 species